AUUGAACGCUGGCGACAGGCCUAACACAUGCAAGUCGAACGAGUGGCGGAAGGGUGAGUAAUGUCUGGGACACUGCGUGAGGGAGGGGGAUAACUAAUGGAAACGGUAGCUAAUACCGCAUACCAUCAGAUGUGCCCAGAUGGGAAUAGCUUGUGGGUGGGGUAAAGGCUCACGAAGGCGACGAUCCCUAGCUGGUCUGAGAGGAUGACCAGCCACACUGGAACUGAGACACGGUCCAGACUCCUACGGGAGGCAGCAGUGGGGAAUAUUGCACAAUGGGCGCAAGCCUGAUGCAGCCAUGCCGCGUGUAUGAAGAAGGCCUUCGGGUUGUAAAGUACUUUCAGCUGGGAGGCGUUACCCGCAGAAUAAGCACCGGCUAACUCCGUGCCAGCAGCCGCGGUAAUUC
rnacentral:rRNA from 1 species